UUCAAUGUACUUUGUUCACUUCCAUUUCUCUGUAAUGCUAAUUUGCUCUUAUUACCCAGAAAUUCCAUACACAGUAAACGAUUGCUCCAUCCCCUCCAGUCUUAAUAAUGAAUGUUCCAUCCCUGCGCCAUUUGAAAAGCUUUCUAAAGACCCUUUUAAAAUGAAAGGUGAUAGCACUGGAUGUAAUGUUUAUUUACAAGAUAUCAUGAUCCAAGGCUUCCAGAAUACUCAGUAUAAAUAACAACCAGCAGCAUGCACUGCAUUUAAUAGAAAUUUGAUCCCAUCAAUUUUACAUGCUCCCACGAAGGAGAGUGUAGAAUGCUAAUGAUGCUGAUGAGAAUUUGAUGUUGACAGAAGAUUCAUUUAUAAAUAAAAAUGGCCAGAAAGAUUAUUACAUUGGACGAAGUUUUGUCAAUACCCAUCUAACAGUAGGUCUCACUCUCCAAAUGACCAGCCACGCUUUCAAUAACAAUCAUUCAUGAAUAACAAUGAUGAUGCUAUGUUGUACUUGUGUAGCACUUUUCAUCAGGGGACUUAAAGACAUGUAUUAAAUUAUCUUCAGGCCCCUGGACAGCCUGGACUUAGAGUACGGACUUCCAGAAGAAAUCCGAAUCGGGCCCCCCAGUCUUCGUUGUGCUGGAAGAACGUUGUCAGAAUUCAGUCCUCUGCAGAUCUCUCACCCAGAUGACCUGGAGAGGAGUCCUCGCAGGCAGUGAGAAGGUGGCUCAGUCCAGGCGCUCCCAGUCUGACCGCCUGCUCAGGUAGCUGUGGAGUUGGGUGGGUAGGUGGAGCAAUCCGCCCACGAGUGUGCAUUUAUUCCUUAAUGAGGGCCUCUAGAGGUCUCUCGCCAUCUUUGGUGAGAAUGGAAGAAGAGCUCACUCACGCGUUAUAACUCUAGCUUGUUUUAAGCUGAAGCAUAAAAUGACCACUUGAAAACCAUUCUCUGACCUCAGCAGAGGUGGGACCGCCCAGACCCUGCUGCGAUAUCGCAGAUGUUUAAUUCCCAGCAGCGGCCAGGCCUGCGGACAUUUUCUAUCACAACUAACAGCACCCCAGCACCCCGGGGUGGGGUAUCUAGAAACGGAUGAGGAAACGCCCCAGAAUGAUGCUGCGGUCUGAUUUUCGCCCGGUGCCUGUCUCCCCGCCACCACGUCCCGCAAGGCGCAGGAAGGCUGGAACGGGCUGAGGGGCCGCAAGCUUCAGUCCGGCAAUCAGCAUCAUGCUCGAACACGGACACAGGACGCUCUAAGACCAGGCCUGUUUGCACCAGAUGGGAGAGGGCGUGGCCAUGCCUGGGGUCCUACCUGAUCAGAACAGUUUCUGCAGGCCACCAAUUGAUUACAAAGCUCCUACAGGACACAGAACACCAGCCAGAUGGAGGGAGGCACAGGACCAGGCAUGGGGGAAGGCACGGAGCUUCCCUGCCUGCUUGAAAGCACCACGCUCCCAGUUCUGUACUCAAUCACCAGCCUUAACCUCCUCGGGCCCUUUCCUCUUGGGUGUUAGUGGUGGCUUCCUUACCUACACACGAGUGGUUAAACCAUGAGCCACUGGCUAUUGCACUCCAUUCUCUGCCCUCCCAGGAAACCAGGGGAUGGGACUACGCGUUCCACCCUCCAGCAUGUUGGUUUUCCUGGCAACCAGGCCCCGCCUCAGGCAUUUUCCAAAAGUUACCUUUAUUCUGCAUAACAAGAGAUACCUUUAACACCCUCACUUCAGCAAGAGGUGAGCCAGGAGCUGUCGAUGAGAAAUAAAUUCUCAGGGCCUCCCCGGUGGUGCACGUGGCUAAAUCUCAGCACUAAUCUGAGUUCAA